rnacentral:rRNA from 1 species
GACGAACGCUGGCGGCGUGCUUAACACAUGCAAGUCGAACGGAAGGGCCUCUUUCGGGGGGUACUCGAGUGGCGAACGGGUGAGUAACACGUGAGUAACCUGCCCUUGACUUUGGGAUAACUUCAGGAAACUGGGGCUAAUACCGGAUAGGAGCUCCUGCUGCAUGGUGGGGGUUGGAAAGUUUCGGCGGUUGGGGGUGGACUCGCGGCUUAUCAGCUUGUUGGUGGGGUAGUGGCUUACCAAGGCUUUGACGGGUAGCCGGCCUGAGAGGGUGACCGGCCACAUUGGGACUGAGUUACGGCCCAGACUCCUACGGGAGGCAGCAGUGGGGAAUAUUGCACAAUGGGUGGAAGCCUGAUGCAGCAACGCCGUGUGCGGGAUGACGGCCUUCGGGUUGUAAACCGCUUUCGCUCAUGACGAAGCUUUGUGUGACGGUAGUGGGUAAAGAAGCACCGGCUAACUACGUG